GGCUGCGUCGCAGAGUGGUUAUGCAGCGGACUGCAACUCCGUUAACACUGGUUCGAUUCCGAUCGCAUCUCCA
rnacentral:tRNA from 1 species